ACUGCUAAUACCGCAUAAGCGCACGGGAACGCAUGUUUCUGUGUGAAAAACUCCGGUGGUGUAAGAUGGGCCCGCGUUGGAUUAGGUAGUUGGUGAGGUAACGGCUCACCAAGCCGACGAUCCAUAGCCGACCUGAGAGGGUGACCGGCCACAUUGGGACUGAGACACGGCCCAAACUCCUACGGGAGGCAGCAGUGGGGAAUAUUGCACAAUGGGCGCAAGCCUGAUGCAGCGACGCCGCGUGAGCGAAGAAGUAUUUCGGUAUGUAAAGCUCUAUCAGCAGGGAAGAAAAUGACGGUACCUGACUAAGAAGCUCCGGCUAAAUACGUGCCAGCAGCCGCGGUAAUACGUAUGGAGCAAGCGUUAUCCGGAAUUACUGGGUGUAAAGGGAGCGUAGACGGAUGUGCAAGUCUGAUGUGAAAGGCGGGGGCUCAACCCCUGGACUGCAUUGGAAACUGUAAAUCUUGAGUGCCGGAGAGGUAAGCGGAAUUCCUAGUGUAGCGGUGAAAUGCGUAGAUAUUAGGAGGAACACCAGUGGCGAAGGCGGCUUACUGGACGGUAACUGACGUUGAGGCUCGAAAGCGUGGGGAGCAAACAGGAUUAGAUACCCUGGUAGUCCACGCGGUAAACGA
rnacentral:rRNA from 1 species